rnacentral:ncRNA from 1 species
AUCACGAAAAGGUAAACCCUGAGUGAUCAGGGGGCGCAAAGUAAAGGAUCUUCAAUUGCGUUCUGAGUUUUGAUUUUAGAAACGAUUUGAGAAGAUGGCCUUACUGCCGAA